rnacentral:miRNA from 1 species
UCACAGCCAAUCUUGAUGUCA